rnacentral:rRNA from 1 species
AUUGAACGCUGGCGGCAGGCCUAACACAUGCAAGUCGAGCGGAUGAAGGGAGCUUGCUCCUGGAUUCAGCGGCGGACGGGUGAGUAAUGCCUAGGAAUCUGCCUGGUAGUGGGGGAUAACGUCCGGAAACGGGCGCUAAUACCGCAUACGUCCUGAGGGAGAAAGUGGGGGAUCUUCGGACCUCACGCUAUCAGAUGAGCCUAGGUCGGAUUAGCUAGUUGGUGGGGUAAAGGCCUACCAAGGCGACGAUCCGUAACUGGUCUGAGAGGAUGAUCAGUCACACUGGAACUGAGACACGGUCCAGACUCCGACGGGAGGCAGCAGUGGGGAAUAUUGGACAAUGGGCGAAAGCCUGAUCCAGCCAUGCCGCGUGUGUGAAGAAGGUCUUCGGAUUGUAAAGCACUUUAAGUUGGGAGGAAGGGCAGUAAGUUAAUACCUUGCUGUUUUGACGUUACCAACAGAAUAAGCACCGGCUAACUUCGUG